AUACAUGCAGUCGAACGCUUUUUCUUUCACCGGAGCUUGCUCCACCGAAAGAAAAAGAGUGGCGAACGGGUGAGUAACACGUGGGUAACCUGCCCAUCAGAAGGGGAUAACACUUGGAAACAGGUGCUAAUACCGUAUAACACUAUUUUCCGCAUGGAAGAAAGUUGAAAGGCGCUUUUGCGUCACUGAUGGAUGGACCCGCGGUGCAUUAGCUAGUUGGUGAGGUAACGGCUCACCAAGGCCACGAUGCAUAGCCGACCUGAGAGGGUGAUCGGCCACACUGGGACUGAGACACGGCCCAGACUCCUACGGGAGGCAGCAGUAGGGAAUCUUCGGCAAUGGACGAAAGUCUGACCGAGCAACGCCGCGUGAGUGAAGAAGGUUUUCGGAUCGUAAAACUCUGUUGUUAGAGAAGAACAAGGAUGAGAGUAGAACGUUCAUCCCUUGACGGUAUCUAACCAGAAAGCCACGGCUAACUAC
rnacentral:rRNA from 1 species